AGCCAUCGACCAGUCUUUAGAUACAACGACACCGACCCCUCAAUCCAUGUGCUGUUCUUGGAUCAAAAAGCCUGACUCCAUUGCAAAGCGAAAUCCUGCUGUAAAAAUACAUACAUCAGGAUCAGGGCAUCGUCCACCGGAUAGGACGACGGCUGAUCCAUAUACUAUACACAGGUUUGGAUCCAACCCAACGCUAACAUCGGUUGGUCGCUCACAACAUGUACUUAAUUAACAACAACGGUUGGACACUUGUUGGUUGCUUAAUCCUGCUAAUUAACACGCUACUAGCAAAAACACAAGAAGAUGAUGAUGAACAGCAGCAGAAGCUCGGUAUCAUCAUCCAUCCAUCCAUCCUUCUAAAGUUUAUACAGCACCGGCAUCGUCGUCGUCUCCCUCCCUCCUGAAUCUUUCUGCCUAUCGUGUUGUAACCGUGGUGACCACGACGACAGGACAGUCCGGUGGUGAGUAGCAGUAGUAUCAGUGUCGUCCCCUAAUCCGGCAGCCACAGGCGAGCUGAGCAGCUCUCCUCCUUGAUUACCUGCCCAUGGCAGACCCGGGCUCCGCGAGGCGGCUGUAGAGCGCGGCGCUGAGCUGGUCCUGCGUGUACACGCGGCUGGCCAUCUUGACGGCGACCUGCUGGAUCAUGAGGUCCUUGACGACGGACACGCUGGCGUGGUACACGUCCAGGUCGAGCUCGCGGAGCGCUGUCAUCAGCCGCGCCGACGGGUGGUUGCGCUUGUGGCACUGCACGCGGAUCAUGGCCUCCAGCCCCAGGAUCUUGGCGUCGAUCUCCACCGCGUGGCAGCGCGGCCCGCCGUCGUGCCCGCCGAGCCCAGCGGAGUGCGAGGGCGGCCGCGCGUCGCGCUCCUUCUUGAGCGCCUCCACCUGGGUCUGCAGCGUCUCCUUGUCGGUCUCCAGCGACGUCAGCUUGCCCCGGAGCUCGUUGAUGUAGGAGAUGGCGUCGCCGAGCAGCGACGCCUUGUCCAUCUUCGACACGUUGGGCACCACGGCGCGCAGCGCGUAGAAGCGCUGGUUCAGCUUCUCCCGCCGCUGCCGCUCCGCCUCCACGUGGUUCAGCGGCUCCUCGCGCCCGUUCGCGGGCUUCCGCCCGCGCUUUCGCGGCCGCUUCUCCGCCUCCGGUGGCGGCGCCACCACGCGGCUGCUCUCCACCUCGCGCACAGACGCGUCCAGGUCCGAGUGGUCGGACUCCGACUUGGCCGGCGCGCCCGUGCCCGUCGACGGCCGCGUAGUCGGCGCCGACGAGAAGGACAGCAUGCCCUCGUUCGCCGUCGCCGCCGGGUGGUGGUUGGUGUUGCUCGCCCGGGAGGUGGCCUCCAUUGAGCGCUUGUUGUUGUUCUUCGCGUCGUUCGCCGCGGCGGCCGUCAUGGUCGCCGUGUGCUGCGAGAAGAGGCUCCCGGGAGCGGUGGUGAGGCUGGCGGUGGCGGCGGGAGGUACCGGCGACGGGUUCCUCCGGGCGUUGCUGUCGGCGCCGAAGCUGAGGAUCUCGCCGGACUCGGGCUUGAAGAACGGCGGGGUCGCCGCCAAGGAAGGAGUGGACGCGAAGUCCGAGAAAUUGAGCUCCCGGCGGAACGGGCCCUGGUGCGCCUGAUUCUGGUGCUGGUGCUGCCGCUGCUGUGGAGCAGCCGGCGCCGGCGGGGGUGGCGGCGCGUGCACGGAGGGGCUGGGGUUCUCCGUGAGCGUGCUCGUGCUCCCGUUCUCAAAAUGGAUCUGCGGCGGAUGCGGCGGAGGCUUGGAGACGGAGAUCUCGGCCGACGGGUGCGACAAGGAAUCCUUGAUGUCCAUGACCGGCGCGUCGGCGAGCCAUAGCAUGGACGGGUCCGUCUCCGCGUGGUCGGCUCCGGCGGCGGGCUGCUGCGACGACGGCGCCUGAGGCUGCACGGGCGGCCACGAGCCACCCCCUGCUCCGCCCCCAAAGAGCGAGCGGAUCUUAGCCAUGCUCUCGGCGGUCUUGAACACGACGUCGGUGGAGCCGAGCUCGAGCACCCCGGUGCCGACGGGGAAGCAGACCAUGGUGCGGAGGCCGAAGUUGUAGGCCUGACGCGCGCGCUCGCACGGCGCGGAGGAGAGGCCAGAGGCGAUCCAUGUGGGCUGCCCGGCGAAGAGCGCCUGCCCGGGGAGGCCCGAACCGUUGAGAAACGACUGCGUCAUGGAGACGAGGAAGAACCACUCGGUAUCGGUGACCUCCUCCUCGACGGCCUCGUCGGGAGCCGCCGCCGCGCCGGAGAUGAGGGAGUUGAGCUCGCGGAGCACGCGCUUGCGGUGCUCCUGCUCGGCCUGGGCGGAGGGCGUGAGCGGCUUCUGCUUGCGCUUGUCUUCGUCGCAGCCCUUGUAGUAGCCGUCCCCCCAGCCGAGCAGCGAGGCGCCGGUGGCGGAGUCAAGGGAGGACUGCCAGAAGAUGGCGUAGGUCCAGGUCUCCCUCGACCCCUCUAUCAUGGCUUGUAGCCUCUGCUGCAGCGUGUCCUGGUUGAACCCGGGAGCCGUCGCCGCUGGCAUCUGCGGCGGCGGCGGCGACGCCGCGGCGGCCGACGAGUUGCCGCCCCCGGCCGGCGCUCCCCAGGGGAAGGUGGGGAGGUCGGCAGAAGCCAUGAAGGCCUCCAUCAUGGAGGCGUUGUCGUCCGUCCACAGGUUCAUGGGGGAGGGCAAGGUGCAGUAGACCCGACGGAAAGAGGAGGAGAAAUGGUGGGUGGAGACUGGGAGAGAGAGAGGGCGAAGGGGAAAGCGAAGGAAAUGGUUCAGAAUGCGGAUUCCGUGGGAUUAUGGCGCAAACCCGAAAACGCCCGAGCCAAGGAUGGGCGCUUGUCUCGCUUCUUGUCCGGCUGGGCGAGGGCAAAUACGGGAACAUGUCGUCGCCCGGGGUCAGGGCGGGACCAGGUAAAACGGGUAAUCCCUCAGGUUGAUUUAGGAGGGCAAACCUACAUUCCAGGGCCAGGUUUGUGUAACCGCCGGGUUCCUAGCCCGCCUCCUACGAAAUGGGCCCGGUUGUCAGUCAGAUAUCAUGGUGUAUAGGCCAUAGGAAUUAGGAGACAUUUUCGUGGUUAUUAAGGUUGCAUACUUUGCUAAAUCUCACGUGGGACUCGAUAGGAGAUCAAGCCCGCCUAGUGAGCUAGUCGAAGAUAUAGAACCUAUUUGUUUUAACUUAUAAUACAUCUGGAACUCUAUAUUAUACUCUCUCUCUAUUUUAAAUUAAAAUUCAUUUACAUAAUUAAUGAAUGCAUACAAUACACAUAGUAUUUAAUUUAUAUGUUAUAUAUGUAUAUAUAUAUAUAUAUAUUCAUCAUCCAUUUAAAUAUAGAUAUAAAAACAAGAGCUAAAACGACUACUGUUUUGAGACAGAGAAAGUAUAAUUUAACUUAAAUAAUCUAGAUGGGAAAUAAACAGACACGUUAUUGAACCUGAUUUUAUAUAAUCUAGAGGUUAAUCCUAUACAUAUGCUUACUUUAGCUUAUUCGGUAAAAAGACCCACUAUCGUGAUAACUUGAGGAGGAAUUACCUACCAUUGCCACACCUUACACACACAAAAUGUUUCAUCUAUUUUUCAUUGCUCCCACUACGCAGCACAUGAAUAAAAGCAAUAUCUAUACUACCUAUUAAGACUCUAAGGGGUAGGCUGCCCCUGACAUGUUCUGCCUUCCAGCGAUCUGGACCGUCCAAUACGCCAUAAAGUCCCUCUGUCGUCCGAUGUGUGCGCCCUCUUCCCCGACGCACACCUGCUCGCGAUUCCUGUUUUGCCUCCCCUAUUCGGAUCCAAAACCCUAAGCGGCGGCGGCGCGGCGCCCGCAGCCUGGAUCCCAAGUCCCGCUCCCCCUGUCAAGCAAUCGUUCCUCCACUAUGCUUACCUAUCCCACGCCGCGUCGGCCUGCUUGUCCGCCCUCCCGCUCCCCCGGGGACCGUUGGUCGUCGCUUUCCAGGGGCCUCGACGUGCCCAACCUGACGAAGUGAUGCGGGAGGUUCGUCUCCACCACGCCCUGCCCCAGGCGCUUCGACCUCCGCCUUCACAUCCAUCGCGAGCAUGAGGCGGGCAAGACGGAGUCGUCGUCGAGCUCACCGUGCACAGCCGUUGUCGCAAUUCUGAGAUGUUUCGUAUCCCCAACCAAAAGCCUUUGCCGCCGCGAGACCUGUUCGUGCUUCGCUCCUCCUCAUCCUCUCCUCCGCACGAGCGUCACACAGCAACCGCUCCCUCUCCAGCAACGCCCCUGCCCUUCCUCGGUCCUCGCACGUGUUUGGAUCUCCUCGCCUCACACGCUACACCUUCUCUCACACGCAGCCGCCGCACCGUCGACCCCAACCAUUGCCGCACGGAGGUCCGCCUUGGGCCUCCACGAUGCUCCCUACAUGCAGUGGAGGGGCGCCAACUUCCUUGCCACGGGGGAGCACAACGGACACGGUGGAGGGCGCCCCAGUCUACGCCCGGCGGCCGGACCACGGAGGAAGGCAGCCAAUGACACAGUGGUGAGCUGCAGCUUGUUCCCCUCCUAUUGUUCGCUCCAUCUAUUUCUCAAGUUUUCCGAAAUCCCUAACCCUAAAUUUCCUCUCUAUCUAUGCAAUCUCGGUCCCGGUCAUCGGACCACAGAGGAACGACCAGGAGCUCGGCAACCCGGUCCCCAAGAUGCAGUCGCGCACCUCCCAUCUUUGAUCCCAAAAUGCUGCCACGCUUCCAACUUCCCUCCCCACUCCUUCCCAUGCUACCUCUGGAGUCUGGAUUUGACCUUGCGUGUGUUUAGGUGUGUUACAGGAGCCCAUCCUGUUCCUGAAGCCGACCUCGUCGUUCCUCCACGCUGGCGUGGCCACCGUCGCCGUCGAGAUCCCAGAGCCACUCAAGUCUCUAGACCACAAGGCCGAGCUCGUCGUAGUCAUCUCCUGGCGUGGGCGUGACGUUCCUGAGGCGUCUGCCAUGUACUUCGUCAGAGGUAAUUUGAGAAUUGCAUCACAACGAUGGAGCCUUUGUCACAUAUGUUUGUGCUCUAUGUUCUCAUUGAAAUGUUAACAUGAGAUAAUCAACGAUGAACCAUUCGUGAGAUAAUUAGGCUUUGUAUUCUCGUUAUGGAGAAAAGUUUGUGUGAUUGCAGUGCCAAAGUGUACUAAAAAACCUUUGGUUUCAUUUUUCAGAAAGGUUCAUUUGGUGUGUUAGCUCUUUUUGUCAUUUGGUGUGUCCUGCCUGCGCGUUUUACCUUAGAUUUUUUAGUUCAAUAUAUGUGAUGCUUGUCCAAUCGAAUGGAAUGGAUAGCAUCAUAUAUGACUUGUAAUCUUGAUUUCUCCAUUUUCCUUGGCAAUGACUGUGCUGAUUUUAACAUAAGGUAGUUUGAAGAAUUUUCUCUAUAAUUACAGAUUUCAAGAUUGAUUUACACAAACUCUGGUCUUGCGAUCUUGGCUUUAACUUCAAGCAUUGUUUGUCUACUCUAGAAAUGGCCACUCAAUGAUCGGAAUUCUGGAAAGGUGAGACUUGUUUCUUAUGUACAUAUAGAUGUGCAUAAAUAGUGUUCAGAUAGCUCAUCUUCUUUACAUGUCAAAGGCGAAAAUUUUGUGUAGAUUGUUACUAAAUUGUUCAAUUUUGCUAUUCAUCAAUCUUAUAGGCAACCACAAGUGUAUCUCCUGUUCUAUGGCAACCAACAAGUGGCAUUUUGAUGACUAAUGACACGACUGACAAUAAUCUUUAAGAAGUUGUUCACUACUUUGCUUUGUCAAAGAAUGAUUCAUAUGUCAUGUCUGCUUCUGGAGGAAAAAUCUCUUUGUUCAACAUGAUGACUUUCAAGGUUGGGUUUAUACUUCACUCUUUUCAGCAAUUCUUCGCCCAUGCAAGUAUAGUAAUAACUCUAUACAUAUUUGUUGCAUGCCAAUUACCAAUCUCCAAGUUGGUUUUCAAAGGGAAUAGAGAGCCCACCCAGGAUAAUCUAAGGCUGCCAGAAAUUAAGGGAAAGUUUGACCCAUCUAAGGCUGCUGCCCUUGGGCUUAGGCCUGGUCCCAAGUACCGUGAACUUCAAGUUGGGAAUUCUAUACAGUCUGAUCAAUUUGAUGAAAUGGUUAGUCAUGAAUAAAAUUUUUUUAUUAUGUUUGUUAUCCUUUUGUAGUACCUUCUCUUUUUGUAUGAGGCUUUUGCCAUCUAGGAGACCAACAAUGCCCGCAAUUAUAUGUUCUGGGCUUUUUCCUAUGAUAGCAUAUGUUGUGAUAAACAACGGUUGAUAAUUACUCUCUCUAUAUAUUUCCAUUUUGUUAGGCUGGAAUUAACAGUUCAACUCACUUUUUCCUUCGCAGCAUCGAGAAAGCUCCAUGUCCUUUAAGACCAUGGAUGAUGGCCAAGUUCUUUAUGUUGUAAGUGCAUAGCAGAAUGUCCUGAAAUGUUCGUAUGCAAUGCCCUGUUUAAUAUCUGGCUAUCUAAUCACCCCUGCUAUCAUAUGCUAUGAUAUCUUUCAAGUUCGCAAGUGAUUCCAUGCUUAUACACCUACUGAUACAAAACUAGCAUCAGUAACAUUUAGAGGAAGAUACGAUACUGUUCUCCCCAUACAAUGGGAUGGAUCUAACUGUUUCCUGUUUCAGACACUUUAUUUUUUGUGUUCCUUUCCAUGAUCAAUAAAGUGUUGCAAAAUAAUGCAUAAUGUAUUUUUUAUGAACACUACAGCUUACUGUUGAAAUUGCUUAAGUGUUGCGAGCAACCAGUGAUUAUUCCAUAACUUUGUCAUAGCAGGGUUAGUCAUUGCUAAAGUGCUCCGGAGCCUGCAGUCCAUGUACGAGCUGGAGUCUGUCGGCAGCGUUAGUGGAGGGUGAGGUUAAAUAUCGACGAGGAGCGGAUCGACCUGCAUGUGAGGGACGAGUUGUCUGACCUCAAGGAGACUGACAAUUUUGUUCUUUGGAAUUGGACUUAAUUUGCUAAAACUAUUCAAAUUAACGAGAAUAAUUUAUUUUAUAAACUACCGUGUUCUGUAUUCAAUUUUUAUCCUUUGCGUGAUACCUGCCCACCUUCUUUAAGUUACUUGUUUGUAUAGUUGGUGUAUGUUAAAAAAUUGUAGAGCCUAUAUGAGAUAGUUGUCGUUGGUUCAAAGGUGAAGAAAUACUCUACAUGUAUCUCUACAGCAUAUGUACCAUAUGUUCACUUGAUAUUAGAUUUAUUUUUAUAGAUAUCAAAUAUCGGGCAUUGUACUAUUAAUUAUAGCAUGGUUUCCCUUGUUCUCAAAUGUGGUUUCUUGCUUGCAUUCCACAAUUUAACUUAAAUUUUAUGCUACAAGCAUCUUGUUUUGUUGUUUUUGUUGACACGUGUGUGAUUUGAAAAAUAAAUGUCAUGUGUUGUGCUUCCAUGCAUCCUCUAGAACAGUGUAAUAGAUUACUAUGCCUUUUCUAUGAUACUUUUUAUCUAAUUUUUUAAUAUUUAUAUGAAUUUAGUAAUUUUCUUUUUAGUUUCCAUACGGAAGUAUGGGCACAUACAUAUAUAUUUUUAAGGUACAUAAACCUAUUUAACAUUUAAAAAAUGCUAACAAGAGUAUAAAAUAAUGACAAUUAGUCAUUCUAUUAUAUUUCUGGACCUGCAAUUGGAUGUUGAUGUUAUGUUCUUGCCAUAAAGUCCAAUGUAUCGUGCUAGCUGUACACUGAUCUAUAACAGGUGAUCGACUGACUCGAGAAUUUGCCGACGCUUGAAGAAGGACCUAAUGUGAGCUUUUACAUACUUGAUGAACAGCUUGAGCUCUUGAGCAAGGUGGGGGUAUUUUUGUAUCCACUGGUCAUGGUUUUGUUGGCUAUUACUAAUCGUGUGCAGAUGGCCCCAUUCACCUCUACCAACAGGUGCUGAAUGCAGGGGAUGACAUGAUUGGUGUUGAGUGCUUAGAAGAAGAUUCUGAUGGCAAGGUUCUAUUUGUUUGAGGUUGCUUCACCAUUCCCCAAAGCACAUUGCAUCUUGUUUUAUUAUUUCUUUGAAUGCCGUCGUCGAGGCCGCUGCAGUUCGCGCAGACAACAGCCAUCUUGGAGGUUAGCUGCUUGUUUUUUCGUCUCCCGUUUUCGAUUGCUCGGUCACAGUAAAACUGCAAACUUGGCUCAAUUUCAUAUUUUUGCUUUGCUCAUGAGUUAUGGAUAUAUCCUAUUAGAAUGAUUACUGUUGUGAAUGUGCAAGGUAGGGAACACUUCGUAGCGUCCACAAUAACUGUAGCUGCUCACUACUGCCACCACAAUAAUGCUUUUUAGACUGCCAUUACACGGUGGAGAGUUGCUAUGUUUUUUAUGGAGCAUUUCUGCAAAAUGCAACUUCUAACCAGCUUUAGACGACCCAUAAGACUCAUCAAUUGGAUUCGUUGUGAGGAUCAAGUUAGAUUUUCCCCACUGGUGGUACUUGCAGUCACAGGAAAGCAAUAAGCUAGAUGAUCCAUCAUGCCUACUCUUUCUAGGAUAUUCUAUCUAAUCAUGGCUCCCAUUCCUUAUCUCUACUACACCAUAUGUACGAACCGUGGGCGUCCACAGCCUCACCAUGCCCCCGCUCCUAGCCACGCGCGCGCCGUCGCCCAUAUGUCCGCGGCGCGCAAAUCCAGCCCUGCCUCAUCUGCAGUCCCCACAACGCGCUCCUUCCCCGCGGCGCCCAGACCCCGCUACGACUCGUCGCCCCUACCCUGUCGCCCCCAUCCCAUUUGCCUGCGCUCGUGGCUUCAGCCCCCGCCCCCGCGCCGGCACCCGAGCUCCAUCCUCACGGCCUUAAAGCCAUUUGCGUAUGCCUCCGACCUCCCCGAGGGCGCGCACAAGCGCUACACCAAGUUCUUGUCCGUCCGCCGUCAAGCGCGACAAGGUCAAGAACGUGCACUUCUCCAAGGACGGUAGUCGGCUCCAGCUCACGGUCGUCGACGGCCACCGUGCCACCGUUGUGGCUCUCAACGACUCGGACCUGAUCGACAUCCUCGCUACGAGAUCUACGUUCUCCUCAUUCCCUUAUCCUCCCCGCCUCUGUCACCGUCGUUCGUUGGACGCCCCCGACACGCCAUCCCUCAACGACACGACGACGACGACGACCGCCGUCCGCUCCGCCUCGCCGUGGGGGACAGCCACGGCUGCAUCGCCGUCAGGGACGCUUGCACACGGGUUGUGCUCCACUGGCUCAACCUCAACAAGGCACACGACAUCGCGCCGGACUCUAGGGGCGGGGUGCAGGACCUGUGUUGGGUCCACCAUGGCUCCGGCGGCUGCGACCAAGAGGUGCACGAAUCUGGUCUGCGGCGCGCCGCCGCCGUUAGUGGUGGGGGCGGGAGGGGAUUGGAGGAAGGGUUGGCCGCUGCGAUCUGGAGGCUUUGCCCUGCUCUGCAAUAAGUGAAGGUACGACACUCCUCCUCGCUGCCCGCUCUCGUGUCCGACUCCUAUGCACCAUCGACACCUGGAUUGGAUGGAUGAAUUGGAAUUGGUUCAUGUCGUUCUGAUUUGGUUCCGUCGCAUCUGGAGGCCUGGAGUAGGUGAGUAGAUGGCUGGAGGGGCACGGGCAGCUGGAAGUCCAAAAAUGACAAGGGAUCUAUCUUCACAAAAAGUGCUCCCGCCUGCUCUGGCCAUCUACCGCGGUAUUGCCCCUCCAUCGUCCGCACGCGGCACGCGCCGUGCUGUUGCCGCCAUCGCCCUGCCCCAGUAGCCCCUGGCAUCUAUCUUCACAUUUGCCUUUUUUUAGCUAAUGAGCAGGUGCUACGUGUUCUUCGCAUCGCUAGGAAAGACGGCCAAGCAGGUACACCGUUCUUGCACGUCUUCAUUUCUUUUAGGCGCCUGAAUCUUCUCUGUUUGUGUUAUGUUUUUCCCUUAUGGUGCAUAGACACUAUGAUUCCUAUGCACUGACACUUUAAAUGAGUGCUUGCUAUUGCAGAACACAAAAUAAUCAUCAAGCCUGACUUCAUUGCUGAUAAUCUAGGCAUUGCUGGUUAUUAUUUUGAUUUUACAAUAGGUAUCUCAUGACAGAUUUAUUGAGAUUGACAGUUAACAAUGCUCUCCCCCAUUGUCUUGAACAAAUCUAUGGUGGCAGUAGUAAAUACGAUCAGCACGUCAGUCUCCUGGUUGAGCUUUUGUUCAAAAUGUGUUUCUUAUUUUGUGUGCUUUUGGCUUCUAUUUAUUUGUACCCUCUAUCUCAACUCUCACUAAUAGAAUCUAUGCCUCAAGGGCCAUGGCAGUCCAUGAAUCAAAAACAUCGAGUCAAUGUAGCUGAAUAGAAAAUGAACCAGUUCUCUCGAUAGUGAUCCAUGCACAAGGUUGUACUCAGAAGGCGGGCUGGCGCGUCGUCAUUGAUGAGUGUGCGGCGCAAGAUCUUGCUCCGGAUGACGCCCACCAUCCGCCGCAUGAUGCUGGCCAUCCAAGGACCAUAGGUCUUCUAGCUGUUUAUUUGGGGCAUACUGUUUAUUUGUACAAAUCUGGUUGCAAUCUUGGGACACAUGCAAAAAUAUAGGAGUGUUUAUUUGUGUUACAAUCACAAUCUCAUAGUUACCACCAGUCAGCAAAUUACUGCUAUUUUGUUCACUUGGUACUGUUGUUUUGGUACUGCGGUGAAGCCAGUGUUUAAUUGUUGUGUAUGUAUACCUUCGGUUUGGGAUUUAUAGAAGUAUUAUUUAGAAAAUGAUUGCAGUGUUACAGUAAUGGUUACACAAUCUGGUUUACCUGACCCUGGCUGAUCAUUAGUGGGGCAAGCAAUUGAUAUAGAUGUGAAAAUCCCAGUCACUAACCACGCAUACUCAUAAGAUCGCAUCGCCCUGCACCCACAUAGCACAGAUCACCAUAUAUGUUGGAUGAAUACAUUUCUCUGGUUACUGACUGCGAUUUUCACAACUAUAUCAAACUGGUUAGCUUCUCAUGAUGGAAUGCAAAAAAUAUCUUUGUCUCAUUCUUUGGUUAUUGCUGCUUUGGUCCGUACAACCAGUUAGCUCCAUAGUUUGGUAAUGUUGUUUUGGUCUAUAAAAGCCUUUUGUCACUUGAUACUACAGUUUUGGUACUGCUAAAUAAUAUCUACUUAACAGGCCAUUAAUUUGGAUCUCCAUCCCAAACCGCAAGGACCAUUCUGUUUGUUCAACCGACAUGCUCUGCGCAGUUAGCAACUUUAGUCUUGAAUGUUUCAGAUUUGCUUUUCGUGAUCUUCAUGCCUAUUAAUUAGAAAUGGUCAGUUGUGUAAUUAGUUACGAAUUUGUUUUUCUAACUUGUUUGCGAAACAUAAAUCCCUCUACAGGUUCUGGCAGAAAGAAGGCCCAUGUGAUCUUGAAGAACAAUACCUUGAACAACAAAAUCGAAGGUAACUUGUGAUGAACAGCUACUCAUAUUUUCUUUAUUGUUCUGAGCAGAUAUCGCACCACACAUUAAAUCAUCUUGCUCCACAUGGAUGCACAAUAAAUCAUCUUACUCCACAUGGAUGCACAAUAAAUCAUCUUACUCCACAUGGCUGGUCUCUCCGAAAAAUAUGAGUAAUGCUAUCUCAGUCUAUAUAUAAUAAUAGGGAUCACCGUGAAUUAAAAGAUGAGUAGUGAUCAUGUCAGUUAAAUGCUCAUCAUGUUUCUUAGGCUUUCUUAUUUAUAUCUACAUCUGUGUGAAUUUUUUGUACUAUAAAUUUGUGCCUUCUCUUGCAAAUUAAUGCACAAAAAGGUGCUAACUUGCCCCCAUAUUUUUUGGUGCCAUGAACAGGCUUCGCUUGCUGCAAUUCCUGUGCUGUUUGGCUCCACAAAAGGAGCAGAGGUGUGGUGAGCAACUGAGCAUGCCUUCAAUUACCAACAAUCUAUUUAAAGUAAAUGUUCAUUACUCGGUUCCCUUGUUAGCUGUAUUGUACAAGUGUUUCAAACUGUACAUAAUGCUUAUAAAUAUUUUUGCUCCUUUCAUUACUCGGCUACUUUGUUACCAGGAAUCUGGAUGUUUCAACUAUAUACCUAAUCAUUGACCAUUUCUAAAUGAAUGCACUUGCUAGAAAAUUAUUUGUUCCUCGUGUUUUUCUUCUCAUCCUGCCUGUUGGAAUAUUGCAGCUGAUCACUCUUAAAAAACUGAUGGGUCCUGGUGUGAGUGGCAGAGCUAUUGGAUAGGAUCACCCUGAGGGCACUCAACAUCACCACUGUUGUACAGAAGUAGGCCAAUUGACAUAUGCACUUUGUUCAUUUAUGUUGGUCGAUUCUACCCGGUUUAAAGAGACUAAAAUGUGGCCGUUGUUGCUGGUAUUAGAGCUUAAUCACAUCCUGAUUAUUCAAGAUAAAUAUAGUGAUCAACUGUGACAUGUUUAUAAGAUAAAUAUAGCCUGUUACUGAACAAAUACAAUGGAUUCAACUUCAGUCAAGACCAAUAUACAUUGGAUUUAGCUUCAGUCAAGACCAGAUUGCUUCAUAUCCAUGCUGGCCCUAUGAUCCUGUAACAUUAUUUCCACAUUGAAAAUUGAAAAUGAUAGUAUUAGUGUAUUACUAUUGUACAUUGUUUUAUCUACAUGUUUUUUGUUUUGCAAAUAAAAAAACCUUGUGCUGCAGUUUACCGUGAUUUUGAUGGUCUAACUUAUUUAAUACAUAAUGUAAGCUUUUGUUAGGUAAGUACUCCAAGUUAAGUGAUUUCUCAUCUUCAUGACUACAGAAACCAAAAAGUAUGACUAGGUUUCUGUGAUCAGAAUGUCUUCGUUUCUAUACUCCUGGAUCACUUGAAUAAAUGUGACAAUUGCUAAGCUUUUUGACAACGACUUUAUUUGUCUGUCAUUAAAAAUUCUAUAUUGACUCUUUACAAGUAAUUUGUGCAAUAUUGAUAAUGUUUACCUUACUUAUUUUGCAUAUCACAUUGAUGCUUGUCUUUUCGUAUCUAUAUUUCAUACAAUUUUUUUUACUUCCGUAGCAACGCACGGGCACAUAACUAGUAUAUAUAUAUGUCGGAGAGGGAAUUCUCCGGCCGGGUGGCAGAGUGCACCCGCCCUAAAUCCUAAGAUGAGAAAGGGGCUUAAGCGUUUUGCCUAUCCUACUAAGCGGACAUCAAACACAUGAACACGCGAGAGUUUAGAGUGGUUUGGGCCGCCGGAGCGUAAUACCAUACUCCACUGUAUGUUGGAUUGCUGUGGAUGAGCUUGUGUUUAUUAAUGAGCAAAUUCAUAAGAAUGCACAAGCUACUACUGUUUUGCUAACAUCCUUGUGCAGGGAUGAAUACAACAAGGUGAGCGGCUUGGACAACGCCAAGCAAAUUUGGGAUACCCUCAAGAUAUCACAUGAAGGAAACGACGCCACCAUGAUCACCAAAAUGGAGUUGGUGGAAGGUGAGUUGGGAAGGUUCAUGAUGAUCAGGGGAGAGGAGCCAACACAAACAUACAACAGGCUCAAGACCCUGGUCAACAAGAUUAGGAGCUAUGGAAGCACAAGAUGGACGGACCACGACGUCGUCCGACUUAUGCUAAGGUCAUUCACAGUAAUUGACCCCCCAUCUUGUUAACCUUACUCGUGAGAAUCCCAUGUACACCAAGAUGACGCCCGAGGAGAUUCUUGGGAAGUUUGUGAGCGGGCGCAUGAUGGUGAAGGAGGGUCGAUAUGUGGACGACGCUCUAAACGGUCCACUCCCCGUCCACGAGCCUCAAACCGUUGCCCUCAAAGCAACCAGCAGCAGGGAGACGCUACCAAGCAAGGUGGCACAAGUGGAGGCCGCUGGCCUCAACGAAGAUGAGAUGGCGCUUAUCAUCAAGCGCUUCAAGACCGCACUAAAAGGACGCAAGGAGUACCCCAACAAGAAUAAGACAAGGGGAAAGCGCUCCUGCUUCAAAUGCGGUAAGACUGGUCAUUUUAUUGCUCAAUAUCCCGAUAAUGAAAAUGACCAGGGGGAAGAAAGACAUGGGAAGAAGGAGAAGAAGAAAAGCGAUAGGAAGGCAAAAGGCGAGGCUCACCUUGGCAAAGAAUGGGAUUCAGACUGCUCUUCAUCUGACUUUGACGAUGAAGGAUUGACAGCCUCGGCCUUCAACAAAUCUUCGCUCUUCCCCAACGAACGCCACACCUGCCUCAUGGCCAAGGAAAAGAAGGUGAGUGUUCGAGAUUCCUCCAAGUACUCUACUUCUAGUGAUGAGGAUUCUAGUGAUGAUGAAGUAGAUUACACUAGCUUGUUCAAAUGAUUAGAUAGAGCUAAAGUAGAAAAGAUUAAUGAGUUGAUUGAUGCUUUAAAUGAAAAAGAUAGACUGCUAGAGAGGCAAGAGGACAUUUUGUAUGAGGAACAUGACAAAUUUGUUAGUGUUCAAAAGUCUCUUGCCUUAUAACUUAAGAGAAAUGAAGUGCUGUCUUAUGAGAUAUCUGCUUGCCAUGAAACUGUAUCUAGUUUAAAGAGUUUAAAUGAUGAAUUAAAUGCUAAGCUAGAGGAAGCAAAUAAAUCUAGUUCAUGUGUAGAGCAUGUUAGUAUUUGUAAUACAUGUAAAGAUUUUGAUGUUGAUGCUUGUAAUGAACACCUUAUGUCUAUUACUAAAUUAAAUGGUGAGGUGACAUGUCUUAAUGCUCAACUUAAGACUUGCAAGGUUGAUUUUGAUAAGCUAAAAUUUGCUAGGGAUGCCUACACUAUUGGUAGACACCCCUCUAUUAAGGAUGGACUUGGUUUUUGAAAGGAAACCAAGAACUUAACAAGCCAAAAGGCUCCCGUUCUCAACAAGGAGAAAGGGAAGGCCCCUAUGGCUAAUAGUGCUCAAAGGAAUCAUGCUUUCAUUUAUAGUGAUAGAAAAUUUUCUAGAAAUGCUCAUAGGAGUUAUGAUCAUGAUGUCUUUAAUUCACAUGUUAUGUUUGCUUCUAGCUCGACUUUUGUGCAUGGUAGAAGUAAACCUAGGAGAAAUCAUGUUGUGCAUCAUGUGCCUAGGAAAGUAUGUAAUGAACCUUCUACAAUUUACCAUGCUUGCAAUACUUCUUUUGCAAUUUGUUGUAAGAAUGAAAAAGUAGUUGCUAGGAAAUUGGGAUCCAAAUGCAAGGGAGAUAAGACUUGUAUUUGGGUUCCAAAGGCUAUUGUAACUAACCUUGUAGGACCCAACAAGAGUUGGGUACCUAAAACCCAAGCGUAAAUUGUCUUGCAGGUUUAUGCAUCCAGGGGCUCAAAGCUGGAUUAUCGAAAGCGGAUGCACAAACCACAUGAUGGGGGAGAAGAAGAUGUUCACCUCCUAUGUCAAGAACAAGGAUUCCCAGGAUACGAUUAUCUUUGGAGAUGGGAACCAAGGCAAGGUCAAAGGCUUGGGUAAGAUAGCCAUCACCAACGAGCACUCCAUUUCAAAGGUGUUUCUAGUAGAGUCGCUUGGUUACAACCUCCUGUCUGUAAGUCAAUUGUGCCACAUGGGCUACAAUUGUUUGUUUACAAAUGUUGAUGUUUCUGUCUUUAGAAGGAGUGAUGGUUCAUUAGCGUUUAAGGGUGUAUUAGACGGCAAACUCUACUUAGUUGAUUUUUCGAAAGAGGAGGCCAAUCUAGAUGCAUGCUUAAUAGCUAAGACUAGCAUGGGCUGGCUGUGGCAUCGCCGUUUAGCACAUGUUGGGAUGAAGAACCUUCAUAAACUUCUAAAGGGAGAACAUGUGUUAGGACUAACCAAUGUCUGCUUCGAAAAAGAUAGACCUUGUGCAGCUUGUCAGGCAGGGAAACAGGUGGGAAGCACUCAUCACAGCAAGAAUGUGAUGACAACGCCAAGACCACUGGAGCUUCUCCACAUGGACCUCUUCGGACCCGUUGCCUACCUUAGCAUCGGGGGAAGUAAGUAUGGUCUUGUUAUUGUAGAUGACUUUUCCCGCUUCACUUGGGUGUUCUUUUUGCAGGAUAAAUCAGAAACCCAAGGGACCCUAAAGCGCUUUCUAAGGAGGGCUCAAAACGAAUUUGAGCUCAAGGUGAAAAAGAUUAGGAGCGACAACGGGUCCGAGUUGAAGAACUUACAAGUUGAGGAAUAUCUUGAGGAGGAAGGUGUCAAGCAUGAGUUCUCCGCUCCCUACACACCACAACAAAAUGGUGUGGUAGAGAGGAAGAAUAGGAUGCUCAUUGACAUGGCGAAGACGAUGCUUGGAGAGUUCAAGACGCCCGAGCGGUUUUGGUCAGAAGCUGUGAACACAGCUUGCCAUGCCAUAAACCGGCUCUAUCUGCAUCGUCUCCUCAAGAAGGCCUCCUACGAACUCCUUACCGGUAACAAACCCAAUGUUUCUU
rnacentral:lncRNA from 1 species